rnacentral:rRNA from 1 species
AGCGAACGCUGGCGGCAGGCUUAACACAUGCAAGUCGAACGCAUCCUUCGGGAUGAGUGGCAGACGGGUGAGUAACACGUGGGAACGUACCUUUUAGUUCGGAAUAACUCAGGGAAACUUGGGCUAAUACCGGAUACGCCCUUUGGGGGAAAGAUUUAUCGCUAAAAGAUCGGCCCGCGUCUGAUUAGCUAGUUGGUGUGGUAAUGGCGCACCAAGGCGACGAUCAGUAGCUGGUCUGAGAGGAUGAUCAGCCACACUGGGACUGAGACACGGCCCAGACUCCUACGGGAGGCAGCAGUGGGGAAUAUUGGACAAUGGGCGCAAGCCUGAUCCAGCCAUGCCGCGUGAGUGAUGAAGGCCCUAGGGUUGUAAAACUCUUUCGGCGGGGACGAUAAUGACGGUACCCGCAGAAGAAGCUCCGGCUAACUUCGUGCCAGCCGCCGCCGUAACAC